rnacentral:misc_RNA from 1 species
UUUUUUUUUUUUUUUUUUGUGGUUGACAAGUUGGACAUGUUCUAUUACCACUUUGAUAUAAAAUAUCUGGACCAUGAAGUGUAUUCUUUUUCUACUUUCAUAAAAGCCAAUGUUAGAUGCUAAUUAGAAUUAAUGCAACUUCUCAUUUAUCACAGUCAAUGUAUACACAUAUCUAGUAACUCAAAUUUGCCAACAGAAGCAGAUUAGCAUUGACAGGAACCUACUGGAGUCUCACUGAUAGCCUUGUGAACCAGCUCUUUCAAUAUAGCAUGAACCUGGAUUUCACAAAAAAUGAGUGAGUAUAACUGUGUAAGCCUGAAAUGCAGAAUUCAGAAAAAUUUGCAAACUGCACAUAUAGGAAAUCAACUAAAGUGUACAUAGAAGGCUAAAUGUAUAAGCUGACACUCUUCAUUCACUCAGUUACAUGGUCAGAAUUUAAAAAAUUAAAUUCUCAACUUAGAAUCACAGGUUUUUAAGUGGCCAGAUAACAUAUUUUCACAUGUCUACAUCUCUUUAUACCAUCUUCAUUAUGGAGAAUUCAUGAGCGAAAAGAAAAUUAUCUAGAGUUUUAGAGUAUUGUACACACUUAUGGAGCUAUUAAUAUAUGAGACUUCUACAUGAUCAGAAUGAAUCAAAUCUUUGAUGGAUCACAGAUUGAAAUAAAGUACUAUAUUCAUGCAUGCAAAGUAAAUUCCUUUUCCCCUCAUGCAUACCGCAUCAACUGAUGCCUCAGCUGGACCUCUAAUGGUAACUAAAGAAGAUUCAAUGAGGCGUCGGUAUCCUUGUUCAGGAGCUAUCAAAUGAGGUUGAUAUCCAUCAGCUUCUGUGAUCAGUUUCCGAAUGUUUUCCAUUGAAAGUUGCUUGUCAAACUGUAACCUUUUUAGAGCAGCAGGAAGCUGGUUAUCAAAAACAUUGUAGAUUUUUUCACCACCAGCUCGCACGCCAUCAAGAUGCUCUUUGUAUAUUUGAUCAAAAAGACGACAUAUCUCCAUGAUUGUGUACAAUUUUCCUCCAGCAUCAGCAGCAAUGGGCUUUCCAAGACGACUCAAUUCAGAUUCCAGUUCAGCAAUUGUUUUGUUGAUAAGGGACUGGAUGCCUGGGAUUCUAGACUUGAUUACAGUUUCCAAAUGCUUAGAUAGCACCUUUGCUAGAUGCUCAGAGCCCAUUCUAUGAGCAAGGUGCUUAUAUUCUGGGGAGUUUGCAAAAUACUCACGUUCUCUUCGCCGAGCAGCAAUCAUAUCUACAUUCUUGUUAAUAUCAGCUUGUGACCGGUUCACGACACCAACCCAAGGAAAUUUUAGCCGAUAAGCUUUUCCUUCCAAUAUCUAAGCAAGGCCAAAUGGGACUCGGAAAGCCAAAAAUGCAUUUAAUAGUAAACAAUAGGGCAUUUAAAACAAGCAUAACACAGCAGUAAUCAACAAGAAUAUACAGCAGUAAUCAACAAGAAGUAUGCAGAUGAUGCAUACAUGGAGAAAGAUCUUAAUGGCAUUUGCUAGUGCUUUCACUCCAUGAAACUUGUGAUAUUCAGUUAGCUUACAAUGCUUACCCAAUUUUAUAGGCUGAGUUAUAUUUGACUUAUGUUAAAGUAAGUUUUGAUUUAUUGACUAAUUUUUUUAAGCAGGGAUCAGUUAUUUUGCAAUUUCCAUAGCAUUUUACUUCUUUUUAAUAAAUAGUCAAGUCCAUAGUCUUUCAAAAAUUCUACAAGUCUUACAAACUCGCUUUGUUCUCUUUUCUGGAAUUUUGAUUAUGGAAUAUCAUUACAAGUACUAAGCGAUUAGAUUUUAUAGUCACUAAUAGCCAUAUUAAUUUUAAUAGUAUUCUCUUUUUACUCUCCAAAUUGCACAUAAAGAUCAAAUAAUUACCCUCAUCUUAGCAAAUGGAUAUAGAACUUCAACAUGUUGCACAUACAGGCAAAUACCCUACUAUAUAUUCCCACUUUUCUAAUAUGUUUGAAGGUCAAUGACAUUCUAUGAACUGACAAUGAAGCAUUACUGAAUAAAUAAAUAAAUAAAUAUUAUACCAGCAACAGAAACUAAGCCAACUUACAUCAACUGCAUCAGUACCCUUAUCCAUAAGAUCAAUCUUUGUCAAGACCCCAAGAGUUCUCUCUCCUGAAAAAAUAUGAAAAUCAACAAAGUACUAGAACAUCUAAGACGUGCUCAAAAUUGUGAAACCAUAUGAAAGCAGAUUUUGAUGAUUGCAAUUGUAAAGCAGAAAAACAAGCUCAGAGAACCUUGAUAUACAAAAUUAGUGCAAGAUUACCUGUAGGGUCCACCUCACGAGAGAUUUUAAUUGCAUCAGAUGUUGCAAGAUCUUGAUUGGCAGGUGAAAUUGCUAGAAUUAUACAGUUGGGCUUCUCAAUGUAGGAGCGAACCAUAUUUUCAAUAUCUUGCACAAUACUAUCUGGCUGACCCUCAACAGCUACUUUUGUGAGCCCAGGAAGAUCAAUCAAUGUCAAGUUGACAACAUUAGGAGAGUAUAUACUCAGAUGAAUUGGAACACUAGAGAUUUGUUUUGUGCGUCCAGUCUCUCGAUCAGUCUCAUCUUGGAUCUCCCUCCGCACAGCAGCAAAAUCAGUGAACCUUUUCCUUGGGAGGUGAAGAAACUCUGCAUAUUCUCUGCUACCUUCGUCACUCUUAUGGAGCUGCAGCACAAGAGGACGCCGUGUAACAAUCCCAGAUCCACGUGGUAAGAAGUCCUUCCCAACAAUGCUUUCCAACACUGAAGACUUCCCCGAACUCUGGCCACCGACGACGGCGAUUGCGGGCAAGGAAUCCCAGAGCGUAGGCAAUGCGCUUGCUUCACCGUGAUCACCGAGAGCGGUACAAGCUCUCUGUAUUUUAUUAACCAGAGAAAUCAAAUUCUCCAUAUCAGGAAAAGAAAGAAAACAAGAAACAAAGACGGAGAUCGGCGCCGGUAAUCGCAGGUGUCAGAUUCAGAUCGCCUGGAUCUGACAACUUCGGAGGGAAACGGCACCGGUAGGGAGAUGGAUGGAUCUGUGACAAGGACUUGCCGGCUACAGAGAAGGAGAAAGGGAGCUUGUUGAGACUCGAACGAAGCGCGUUUUAGUAGGGGUUAAGAAUUAGUAGCGUUUUGGUUUUGAAAUGAAUAGACAGAGCUUGACCAGGACAAGCUACAGGCCGG